GCUUUGACUACCAAGUCAGCUGAUUGCAAUGAGUGCCCAGGGACUCUGCUGCAAUGCUGAUACUGAGAAGGAGUGACCACAAGGACAGACCCUUCUGCUACAGGAGCCCACCAGAGCUGAAGUGCUUAGUGGCUCUUUUUAGGUUUUUUUUUUAAAACGUGUUCUCAGUAUGAUCUUCAGGCUGACCUCUAACUCACCAUUCUCCUGACACAUCCUUCCAAGGCCUGGGAUUACAGAGUCAGCCUCCGAAGCUCCUCCUGUAGAACCCACUCUUAAGGAGCACAUACGGAGACAAUGUGAGCUGGAGCAUUCAAGAGGACUGAGACAUAGAGACAAGGUGCUGGACAGGCAAGAGGAGCCUUCCAGGAAGAGUCCUGGCCUGAGCAGAAUGGAAGAGAAUUCGUGUACAGUGGAUUCCUAUGAGACAGCUUCAUGAAGUCCUAAGGAGAAGGAGGCUGAAGCCUAUGGCCAAAUGACUGGCAGAAGCUGCUGAAGAACUGGUCCAUCACAUGGACAUUUCAUGGUUCUCUUAGAACAAGCAUCUGGGACUUCCUCUCGAUUCAGGUGUGUAGUAUCCUGAUAGUGUGUGCUGAUGGGACUUUUAUAAGCAGUCCUUAUUAAUCACAGCUAGCAGAGAGUAAUUUGAACACAGAACAAAAAAUAUCUGAAUAAAUGUUCAUUGUUGGAA
rnacentral:lncRNA from 1 species